AGGGCAGUGGCUCAAAUGGCUAGAGCACCGGUCUCCAAAACCGGCGGUUGAGGGUUCGAGUCCCUCCUGCCCUGCAA
rnacentral:tRNA from 1 species